UACACUUUAAGGGUCCCAGCAUUUUUGCGUUUCGAGAUGCCACUUGCCGCCUACAAAAACUCCAAGGAACGAUAAACACUCCUGUCUACCGUUAUAAAAAGCUAGGAAUGCAAAGGGAAUCUCUUCAAGGAAAACCCAAUUGGUGGACUAUACGAAUAUCCUUUUCCUUUUAACAUAAAAGAUCAAAUCUUAUCUAUACAGUGUGAUGUUAAUUUUAGAAUGAAAAUACAAAUUUUAAAUGGAUAGAGAUGUUUAAAGAAAUAGGAAAUAAAACCUUAUAAAUA